GAGGUGUGGCUUUGUUGAAGGAGGUGUGGCCUUGUUGGAGGAGGUGUGGCUUUGUUGGAGGAAAUCCUUCACUGGGGUGGGCUCGGAGGUUUUAGAUGCUCCAGGGAAGCCCAGUGUCAUUCUAUCUUCCUGCUGCCUGCCUAUCUGUAUAUAGAACUCUCAGACACCUCUCCGGCAACACGUCUGCCUGCGUGCCACCAUGCUUCCAGCCAUGCCAACGAGGGACGAAGCCCCGGAACUAAGAAGCGUUCAGAGGAAAAUGCAUCCUGCUCCCUGGAUGUCCAGUCAUAGGAGUUAAGACGAGUCAGGAAGUGUCUCUUCCAUUUAGAGCUGGAUUCAUCUCAGAUGCAGAACAAGUGCAAAGCAAAAUCUGGUGUGCGUGAGCUCAGGAGAGCCUCUUCACCCCGAGACUAGAUGAGGUAUUAUUCAAAUACAUGGUCCUGAGUCUUGCAGGGAAAAGAGGAGUAAGCCUUUAUCAAGAGUGUUACCUGUGUCAUCCUCAGAAGCAUUCUACCUCAGUCUCCCUAGUGCUGGGAUUUACAAGGUUGUGCCGUCACACAUGGCUUGACAAAAUAUUACUUAAACAUGUAAAUAAUUACGUGCCCCAGGAAUAAAGGCAAGAAGCAUGUGGAAUUCUAGCUUGAUCACAUAGACGUAUUUAUUACAAACGUGCACAUGCACGCACACACACAUACCACAUACCAUUUUGGUACCAACUUUUACACAGGCAACCUUGAAUCAUUAUUGUUCCUACGUACAGAAGAGUUCUAAGGCUGAUACCAAUGGUUCCGUGCAGAGUCUGGAAGUUAACCGUGAUGACAGUCAACAGUCCUUAGUCCCUGGUGUUAGCUGACACACGUCUUUCCCAAAAAAAAAAUCUCCUUAAUCUCAAAAAGAUUCUCUCUGGCCUCUCCCGCCUUGUUCAGAUUUUCUUAAAGGACCACGAACUGACUAUUAAAAGAUAGCAUUUUCGGGGCGGCGGUGGCGCAUGCCUUUGAUCCCAGAAAUCUGGGAGCAGAGGCAGAAGGAUCCUUUGUCUCAAAUUCUGCUGUUUUUUUCCGGAUUUGCCAGUAGGUGGCGCCCUCUGCGUGUUGCUGUUAGCUGGCUCUUUGCAAAUCUCCUUUCCUCUCCAGACUGGAAAUUUCCAGAUCCACAGUCAUUUUUGGAGCCACACACUCUUGGCCCCUCCCCUGGUACUUCUUCGGCCCCGGGCUCAACUAGCCUUAGUUGGGCCCCCAGCUUCACACGGCAAGGUCCCUGGGACCUAGACAUUAUCUCUGGUGCUGGAACUGCCCGAGAACAGAGGGGGCGUGGCGGGGCCCCUGCUCCCUGCUGUUAGGACCUCGAUGGGGAGCUGGCAGGCUGUGUCUGCUUCGCUUUGCAGCAGCUGGGCUCCUUCCACUAGCCUCCUCACUGUUUGUCCUGCAGCUCUCAGAAACCCAGGACUCCCCUUCCCUUGUUCUACAACCUUUCCCAUCUGCCCCACCUCUUCCAGAUUCCUCCUCCUCUCACCAACCUCAGGCUGGACCAUGUCCGUCCCAUCUACCUCCACCCCCUGACCCCACCCCUAUUUAACAUUUCAUCUUCUGGAUCUAUUACCCCUCAUUUGUUCCCCUCUAUUGCUAUCACUGUUCCUCCCGAGAGAGACCCAGUUUCCCUAACCUCCCUCACUUCCAGCGCUAACUUUCGGUCUCAUCGUGGCCCAUACUCGACUCAGGUCUCGGACUUUGAUUUUCUGUUGUCUGAGCCACAGACCCUUCCUAGGAACGACUUAGAGGAACAGUAGCGCCCCUUCCUGAUCGACCCACGUUCCUUUCUCUACCUCAGAUCUGUAGCCAUAAGAUUCAGACUCCACCCCCAGCCCCGCCCCACCUUUUCUGAUCAGCCCCUAGCCCUAACUGCCUUCCCGGAAUCUGUCUUCUGCACCCCAUCGCAUGACCUGGGAUGGUUGCCAGUAACUCCUUCUGACUUCUGACUCUGAGAGGAUGAGGUUGGAGCACAAAGUGCUCCAAUCAUAGCUGAGGUGGCUUUGCCACCGGGUUCCAAGAUGAACUUGUUAGUGACUCCGUCAACUUCAAUGAUGGCACGAUGAGGCAAGUAUCUUCUUCUGUUUAUUUUUUUAAUGUCUAUGGGUGUUUUGCCUGCAUGUAUGUCUGUGCGUGAGACAUUUGUGCCCGAUGCCUGUGGAAGACGGAAGAGGGUACAGAUCCACUGGAACCUCGGGAAUUCACCAUCUUUGUGAGCAACCAGGUGGAUGCUGGGAAUUGAACUCAGAUUCUCUGGAAGAGCAGCCAGCAGCCAGCAGCCAGUGCUCUUAACCGAUGAGACAUCUCUCCAGCCCCGCAUAUACCUUUUAGGUAAAUAGUUUUGAUGGAGAGAAAGGAAGAUUCCCGAAAGACCUGUGCGAUGCUGAAGGCUUUGGCACCAGAGAGGAGGGCGGCGGAAGAGAGGGCACACAGAUGCCUUCUAAAUGAUUCUUUGUGCCUUGUAAAGGUCUGUCCUUUACAGAGAACAGAGAGUGGAAGCAGACUGAUCGUCCACGAAAAUGACUUCAAUUGAAGCUCAUAGCAAGAGAGAACCUUGAGGAUGGUGGGGGAGUCCAUUGUGACUGGAGAGUGGGGUGCUAUUUCGGGAAAGAUGUAUGUGGUGUGUCCUUGUGUCUCUUUGUGGCCAUGAUAAACCACCUUGACAAGAGCAAAUACGGAACCACAGAUUGUUUGGGGGACACACUUCAAUCACGCAGCCUAUUAUAGUGUCGAAGACAAAAUGUCAGGAGCUUGAAGCAGCAGCUCCUGUCACAGCCACAGCUGAGAAGUGAGGGUGUGAGCUGAGAGCACUUGAAUUGCUUUCUCCCUUUUAUGGAGGUCAAGAUUCCCACACAGGGGAUAGUCUUGCCCACAGUUGAAAGGGUUUCCCCCAGAUAGAUUUAGCGGAUCAAGAUAACCCCACACAGACAUCCUCAGAGGCCAAUCUUAAUCUAGAUAAACCUGCCCACAGGUUUAUCUCCUAGAUAGUUCUAGAUGCUGUCAUGUUGACAACCGGCAGCAUCCACUGAGCCCUAAUGCUAGUACAAGUUCUCCGAGGAAGGGGGUACAUAGUGAAUGGCUCCCAUUCUGUUUUUCCAUAAAACAAACAAAAAACCCUAGUGUGAUAAAAUUGUACAAAUUUAUGAGGGUACACUGUGUGAUGUUUUACAUUAUAAAUAUAUGUUGUAACUUU
rnacentral:sRNA from 1 species